CGCAUCUGUGCAUGCAGCAUAUCAAUAAGCGGAGGAAAAGAAACUAACAAGGAUUCCCUUAGUAACGGCGAGUGAAGCGGGAAGAGCUCAAAUUUGAAAUCUUCAAGGUUUUACCUUGACGAAUUGUAGUUUAAAGAAGUGUUUUCUGUUGAAGUUUUGGUAAAAGUUCUUUGGAAUAGGACAUCAUAGAGGGUGAGAAUCCCGUAUUUGACCAUUAUUUUCAGCUGUGUGAUACACUUUCAAAGAGUCGGAUUGUUUGGGAAUGCAGUCCAAAAUGGGUGGUAAAUUUCAUCUAAAGCUAAAUAUUGGCGAGAGGACCGAUAGCGAACAAGUACCGUGAGGGAAAGAUGAAAAGAACUUUGAAAAGAGAGUUAAACAGUACGUGAAAUUGUCAAAAGGGAAGCGUUUCGACACCAGUGUUGUUUUCUCGAAAAUCAAUUAAAAAGAGUUAGAUUUUGUUGUGUAUUGACCUUAACAGCUUGCAUUUCAAUUUUCUUGCUUUUUUUAAUGCACUUUUCGUUUAACAAGUCAACAUCAGUUUCUUUUGUUGUAAAAAGGUCAUUGGAAGGUGGCUUUCUUUUCGGAGAAAGUGUUUAUAGCCUUUGACUCCUGCAAUCGGAGAGACUGAGGUCUGCAGCGUAGAUCCUUCGGGGUUAGAUACAUUUGUGCUAAGUUAUAGCUUUUUAUAGACAACUUGUUGACUAUGAUUAGUCUUGUAGCUUACUCGCUUAUGCUAUUUUACCUACGCUUAGGAUGUUGAUGUGAUACUGCGAGCA
rnacentral:rRNA from 1 species